rnacentral:pre_miRNA from 16 species
AAGACGCGUCUUUCUGUCCCGCUCAUCCGGUUGUUCCAAUAUUCCAAAGGGUGAUUAUUGAGCAAUGCGCAUGUGCGGGACAGACUGAUGGCUGC